AGUGAACGCUGGCGGUAGGCCUAACACAUGCAAGUCGAACGGCAGCACAGUAAGAGCUUGCUCUUACGGGUGGCGAGUGGCGGACGGGUGAGGAAUACAUCGGAAUCUACUUUUUCGUGGGGGAUAACGUAGGGAAACUUACGCUAAUACCGCAUACGACCUACGGGUGAAAGCAGGGGAUCUUCGGACCUUGCGCGAUUGAAUGCGCCGAUGUCGGAUUAGCUAGUUGGCGGGGUAAAGGCCCACCAAGGCGACGAUCCGUAGCUGGUCUGAGAGGAUGAUCGGCCACACUGGAACUGAGACACGGUCCAGGCUCCUACGGGAGGCAGCAGAGGGGAAUGUUGGACAAUGGGCGCAAGCCUGAUCCAGCCAUACCGCGUGGGUGAAGAAGGCCUUCGGGUUGUAAAGCCGUUUUGUUGGGAAAGAAAAGCAGCAGGUUAAUACCCCGCUGUUCUGACGGUACCCAAAGAAGAAGCACCGGCUAACUUCGUG
rnacentral:rRNA from 1 species